AUUGUCACGUGCUCAGCGAUGAAGGAAAACAUCGUGAGGAAACCCACAUUCCCGAGAAAUGCAUUUUCGGAGGUAUGUGACCUAACCUGUAUUGGGCUGGUUUUCCCUUCGCGGGUUGGAAGGUCAGACAGGCAGUCGCUUCUGUAAAAAACCGGACCUGUCAAAUGUUCAGGUUAGGUAAGCGGACCCUGUGGAAAACGGGAUAAUGCUAGGGGGCUGGGUUUGCUCUUGACGCCAUUCCGCCUCUGAUAAGCCUGAAUGAGGUGAAUGUGGACGGUGUAACGAGCUAGUGUUUAACGAAGGUAUGAGUCCGCGCCACGGAAGAAAGCCUAGGUAUGGAAUAAGGAAUAAUACUAUGUAUGGACCGGCAUCUCUGCGCUCCCCACCAGCGUCUGAGCUAGGCUUACCUCACCCACACUCUUUCUCCUCACUUUCUCUUCUCACUUUAGUCUCCAAUAGUAUAGCGUCAGACGUCAGACACACGAAUCCGCGUGUACGAUAACGUCAUUGGCCCCGAUUCCUGCCAAGAGGAAUGAUAAUUUUAAAAGGAAUUAAAUAGCAACCCGGGCGAAUCAAAUAGGCAUCUCGCUGGUAUGUUUAGUUUGACUAGUGAUGUCAACUUAUACUGUCGGGUUACCAAUGUAAAGUUUGGCGAGGGUUGUUUAAGAUUUCGGCCUAAAAUAACUUUACUUAUAAAUUUUAUAUGCCUGUCGAUUGCCCGUCCCUUUUCUUUUCGGCGGAUAAAAAAAUGACAGAAGUCAAUUAUCAUGACUUCAUCCAUGGCGCGGACUCCACCUUACAGACACCCCGCUAGCCACAAGUUGAUGGUGGAACUAGGAAUCGACGAUCAAACGGUUCUGGUUGUGUAUAUGCGUCGCGCUGUGUAAACUUCGUUAGCGCGUUUUAGGACUCGAUAAGCGCCAUCUAUGAUGAAUGUGCGGAACUAGUAGAUCCGCCACGGAGUCUCAUAGAAAAUUUCAUUUAUAAGGAUUGAUAAGCGAAGGAGCAUAAUAUUUGAAAGCUCAUUUACCCAAUGUAUGAAAAGAAAAAUAGAAGGUGUUCCAUUUUGUUAUAGGAAAAUAAAGGUAGUUAUGAUUUUAAAGUACAAUAAGCUGCAAAAGUCCAGUUUUUUUGCAAAGUAAUAAAUUAACUGCUUGCACUUAAGACCUCUGGUUACA